rnacentral:lncRNA from 1 species
AAAAUAUAAUUAAACGAUUAAUUAUGAGACACAUCUUUUGUUGAAAAAAAAAAACAAAAAGAACCAAAAAGGAAAAAAAAAAACACGGAAAAGGAAGAGAAAAGAAGAAGACACGACCAAUCCUUUCUCCGACGUAAUUGUAUGUGACUCACGACCAUGAUUAGAUUGGUGGAGAUUAAUAUACCCGUCGAUUUUGUGCAUGCUCCAAAACGAAUAUCUUGAAAAUCUUUCCCACGAGACUCAUUAGUCUCUUUAUUAUCUAAGGUAAUUUAAAAGAAUAGUUUGUUUGAUUGGUUGCAAUUGUAGGAUGCAAGAUCAUAUCAAUAU